CAGGAAAUGAAUGAAAGUUGGGCAUCAGAGACUAAGUACAUCACAGCAUUCUUCAGGCAGCAUUCUCCAUCUGACGCUGCCAUGAGCCACAGGCUCCUCUGCUGUGUGGUCCUUUGUCUUCUGAGAGCAGGCCUCAAGGAUGCUUCACUCACACAGUUCCCAAGACACAGGAUCAUUGGGGUGGGAAAGGAAUUCACUCUACAAUGUUCCCAGAAUCUGAAUCACUUUGCCAUGUUCUGAUAUCAACAAGACCCAGGAUUUGGACUGCGGCUGCUCUAUUACUCACCUGGUACUGAAAGCAUUGAAGAAGGAGAUGUCUCUGAAGGGUAUCGUGUGUCUCAAAAAAAGAUAGAAUAUUUUCCCCUGACCCUGGAGUCUGCCAGCGCCAACCAGACAUCUGUGUAUUUCUGUGCCAGCAGUUCUGGGGUAGGGUGGAGAG